AUUGAACGCUGGCGGCAUGCCUUACACAUGCAAGUCGAACGGCAGCGCGGGAGCAAUCCUGGCGGCGAGUGGCGAACGGGUGAGUAAUACAUCGGAACGUGCCCAAUCGUGGGGGAUAACGCAGCGAAAGCUGUGCUAAUACCGCAUACGAUCUACGGAUGAAAGCAGGGGACCGCAAGGCCUUGCGCGAAUGGAGCGGCCGAUGGCAGAUUAGGUAGUUGGUGGGGUAAAGGCUCACCAAGCCGACGAUCUGUAGCGGGUCUGAGAGGACGACCAGCCACACUGGGACUGAGACACGGCCCAGACGCCUACGGGAGGCAGCAGUGGGGAAUUUUGGACAAUGGGCGCAAGCCUGAUCCAGCCAUGCCGCGUGCAGGAUGAAGGCCUUCGGGUUGUAAACUGCUUUUGUACGGAACGAAACGGUCUGGGUUAAUACCCUGGGCUAAUGACGGUACCGUAAGAAUAAGCACCGGCUAACUACGUGCCAGCCGCCGCAGUAAGAC
rnacentral:rRNA from 1 species